GAGCAGGACAAUCCCUUCUGUUCCCCCGUGCUGCUGGGCCUGGUGCCACAGGACAGGGAGGUCCCCUCUUGUUGUAAUUGAGACAGUCACACACACCAUUUUCAGAAGGCUUCAAACUGGUUUUAUUCUGGCAUGCAUGCUUUUUAUACAUUCUUACAAAAAUUUACGCUUUACUUAUUGGUCAGGAAAGACAAAGUGCUCAUCGGAACGGGCAGGUGGGGGUUUCUCUUAUUUAUCCUUCUUUAUUCCUUGGUUCCUGUGUCAAUGACCAUUCUUUCAGGAGUGAACAUGGAUCCUCGUAUCAAACUUCUCCUGGCUCACAGAAAUUGCUGUGAGACAUCUUCCACACCCUCUUGCUCCAGGGCACUGCUGAACUCAGAUCCAGCUUUCCUUCAGCCAGGACCCCCAGGUCCCUUUUAGCUGGCACUGCUUUCCAGCCCCUCAUUCCCAGUCCAUCCAUAAAUCCAGGCGUGUCCCCGCUGGGUGCAGAAUCCAGCACUUUUCCUUUUUGAACUUCACCUGGUCGGUGAUUUUUCAUCCCUCUGAUUUGUUGAGGUCUCUCUGCAGGACCUCCCUGCCCUGCAGGGAGCCAACAUCUCCUGCCAGGUUUAUAUCAUCCUCCCUCUUGCCAAAAUCCCCCUGGAAAACUGCUCCCUUUCUCCUUGCUGCCUUGGGAGACUUCCAGGGCGUUGUGCUCCCUGUCACGAUGGACUCGUGAUCAUCCUGGAGCAAAACUCCUCCAGGAUGUUCCCCUUGCACUCCUGUUUUGUGGCUUCCCAAGUUUUCUCUGGAAGAGCAGGAGCAGGAUUAUUUGCAGCCGCGGCAGAAAGGUGCACAGCUGUCAUCUCCCAAGAAAUUACAAUUAUCUCUUCCGUAAUUAGGACAAGUUUGGCUGAGACUCUGAGUCACUGGGAAGUUUAGUUCUGUCGUUUAGCCCAGAAUAGCUCUGUGGUUCCAUAAAUGUUUUCCCUGCAGACUAAACCUUGAAUUUAUGAUGAAGGUUAAAUCACUCCCACUCCUGAAGGAACAGAGGAGGUGGGAGGGUUUUAUUGGGUGGUUUUCCAGGGAUUGGACACGAAAACAUCUGGUAAAUGACCAGGUAAAAGAGAAAUAUGUGUAAAAAAACCCCCAAAAACCAAAAACAACAACAACAACAACAACAACAACAACAACAAAAAACAACCAAAAAAAACACCACCAAACCCAAAACAAAACAAAAAACCUCAUUUUGCAAAAAAUAGUAAAGCGUGGGAUUUUUCAAUUUUUUUAAAAAAUUUCAGUGUGAGCUUCCAAAGCAUAAAUUAAUAAUUAAAUACAUUUAACCUCGGGUGGAUUUUCUUUGGAGUUUUAUUACACAGACCAGAAAUUCCUGCGGAUGACUUGGUGGGAAAACUGGUAACAUACUUAACAUGCCAGGCCGAGGUGCACAGCACUUUAAGCAGAGGGGUAGAACCUUCUCAUUACCUUAACUGAUUAGGAGUGUGAAGUAGAAUCUGCCUUAAUUAGUGACAACAAGCUCUUGACUAGUGGAAAAACACCCCCAAGUAUGGGGUGUGAAGAGCUGUUGUUGUCAGGGAGAAAGAAUCCUCAAUGCCAGAGCUUCAUUUGUGAAGCAUUGCACAGGGAACUGCACUUCUACAAAGUGGUUGUUACAACUUCAGGAAAGUAGAAGGAAUGGGAGUUGCUGCCUCUCCAAAAUUGAGAGCCUCCAAGAAAAUGACAACUGUUUCAGCAGGAAGCCUCAUCUGGUGGAAUCCAGGUUUCCACAGUGAUGAAAUGAUGCUGGAAGUUACAGAUCUGCUGGUUUGGUGCUCUGCCAGGAAAGGGGAGUCCUCAGUUUGUACUCUAGGAUGGAUCCCAAGCUUUAUCUCUGCUUUAUGCCCAUGCACUACAAAAAAAUGCU